GGGGCCUUAGCUCAUCUGGGAGAGCGCCUGCUUUGCAAGCAGGAGGUGGCCGGUUCGAGUCCGGCAGGCUCCA
rnacentral:tRNA from 2 species